rnacentral:rRNA from 1 species
GGGUUGUGAGGUUAAGCGACUAAGCGUACACGGUGGAUGCCCUGGCAGUCAGAGGCGAUGAAGGGCGUGCUAAUCUGCGAUAAGCGCCGGUAAGGUGAUAUGAACCGUUAUAACCGGCGAUACCCGAAUGGGGAAACCCAGUGUGACUCGUCACACUAUCAUUAACUGAAUCCAUAGGUUAAUGAGGCGAACCGGGGGAACUGAAACAUCUAAGUACCCCGAGGAAAAGAAAUCAACCGAGAUUCCCCCAGUAGCGGCGAGCGAACGGGGAGGAGCCCAGAGCCUGAAUCAGCAUGUGUGUUAGUGGAAGCGUCUGGAAAGGCGCGCGAUACAGGGUGACAGCCCCGUACACAAAAGCGCAUGUGCUGUGAGCUCGAUGAGUAGGGCGGGACACGUGGUAUCCUGUCUGAAUAUGGGGGGACCAUCCUCCAAGGCUAAAUACUCCUGACUGACCGAUAGUGAACCAGUACCGUGAGGGAAAGGCGAAAAGAACCCCGGCGAGGGGAGUGAAAAAGAACCUGAAACCGUGUACGUACAAGCAGUGGGAGCCCCACCACUAAGCCAGUGGUGAACUCCACAUACGCAUCCUUUGCUGAGGAUACGGUUAACGGAGCGAAAGCGACGUUCAACCUCAAAAGAAGCAGAGGGGGCUUAGUGGUGGGGUGACUGCGUACCUUUUGUAUAAUGGGUCAGCGACUUAUAUUCUGUAGCAAGGUUAACCGCAUAGGGGAGCCGUAGGGAAACCGAGUCUUAACCGGGCGUUAAGUUGCAGGGUAUAGACCCGAAACCCGGUGAUCUAGCCAUGGGCAGGUUGAAGGUUGGGUAACACUAACUGGAGGACCGAACCGACUAAUGUUGAAAAAUUAGCGGAUGACCUGUGGCUGGGGGUGAAAGGCCAAUCAAACCGGGAGAUAGCUGGUUCUCCCCGAAAGCUAUUUAGGUAGCGCCUCGUGAAUUCAUCUCCGGGGGUAGAGCACUGUUUCGGCUAGGGGGCCAUCCCGGCUUACCAACCCGAUGCAAACUGCGAAUACCGGAGAAUGUUAUCACGGGAGACACACGGCGGGUGCUAACGUCCGUCGUGAAGAGGGAAACAACCCAGACCGCCAGCUAAGGUCCCAAAGUCAUGGUUAAGUGGGAAACGAUGUGGGAAGGCCCAGACAGCCAGGAUGUUGGCUUAGAAGCAGCCAUCAUUUAAAGAAAGCGUAAUAGCUCACUGGUCGAGUCGGCCUGCGCGGAAGAUGUAACGGGGCUAAACCAUGCACCGAAGCUGCGGCAGC